CCUUACACAUGCAAGUCGAACGGUAACAGCACUUCGGUGGCUGACGAGUGGCGGACGGGUGAGUAAUACAUCGGAACGUGCCCGAUCGUGGGGGAUAACUACUCGAAAGAGUGGCUAAUACCGCAUACGAUCUACGGAUGAAAGCGGGGGAUCGCAAGACCUCGCGCGGACGGAGCGGCCGAUGGCAGAUUAGGUAGUUGGUGGGAUAAAAGCUUACCAAGCCGACGAUCUGUAGCUGGUCUGAGAGGACGACCAGCCACACUGGGACUGAGACACGGCCCAGACUCCUACGGGAGGCAGCAGUGGGGAAUUUUGGACAAUGGGGGAAACCCUGAUCCAGCCAUGCCGCGUGCAGGAUGAAGGCCUUCGGGUUGUAAACUGCUUUUGUACGGAACGAAAAGACUCUUUCUAAUACAGAGGGUCCAUGACGGUACCGUAAGAAUAAGCACCGGCUAACUACGUGCCAGCAGCCGCGGUAAUACGUAGGGUGCAAGCGUUAAUCGGAAUUACUGGGCGUAAAGCGUGCGCAGGCGGUUAUAUAAGACAGAUGUGAAAUCCCCGGGCUCAACCUGGGAACUGCAUUAGUGACUGUAUAGCUGGAGUGCGGCAGAGGGGAUGGAAUUCGCGUGUAGCAGUGAAAUGCGUAGAUAUGCGGAGGAACACCGAUGGCGAAGCAUCCCUGGGCUGCACUGA
rnacentral:rRNA from 1 species